AACAAGAUUGAGUUAGGAAAGCUAAUACAAUUUUGGUUAUUCGAGAACACCGAUUCCCUUAUUGGGAAUUCAAUACAAAUUUAAUUGCAUGGAAGCACUGUUUUUCUUAACAAAGGCUUCUCUGAAACCUAUAUACAAGACACACGAUCGCACAGUUGUGUUGCUAUUGAGCCGAAAACCAGGAAAGAAAGUGACAGACGUUUGCUGCCAUCGAUUGUGGAUGAUUAACAGAGCCAAAAGAGCGAGUCUGUGGAAAGAUCACGAAGGAUGGGUUGGCCUUGAAUUCGAGUUUGAUAGGUUUUUGGUGAACUAUUGCCAUGAGACCAAACCAAGUUUGCUGCCAUCAAAAUUAAUGGUUGUUUUUGAGAAUUUGUGAAUGUUUAGAAAUGUGGAUUGUGUACGAAUUCGUAUUUUCAGGGAAGGAGAACAAAUAAGGAACAAGAAGAGGACCUACAGUGUCUUCUCAAUCAACCUCUCGAAAUGCAAAUAAGCUGUUUGUUUAAAUGCCUGAACGACCAGAUUAGCAGCAGCUUUUGUUUUUCACUGAACCGAGCUGUUACUGACAGUUAACUAAGGAGUUUACCAAUUCUGUCUUAAUGUAAACUCACUGGAAACCUGCAAUGCGUGAAUAUGGUGCAGGAUACCUGUUUGGUGAUUGAUUGUCUUGCUUCCAACAGCAGUGGUGAUCAUGCUCUUAUAGGGUGUAUAGGGCUAUCAACGAGUUCAUAACAUUAUCUUUCAAUGUUAAUUAUAUUUAAAUUACAAGCACACAUGUGUAAAUUUUGUCAAUGUCUACGUGUAUGUUUCUUUUUACAGCAUGAGUAGACCAGUGAUGGCCGAUUUGGAGAGCGAGAAAGACCUGUUCGAGGUAAAAAGCUUGCAAAUUUUAACCUCUGAAUUGGUCUUGCGAAUUUGCAUGAGAUGCAUACAUGGUCUGCUUUGGAUGGCAGUGAAGCCACCCCUAUAACACUCCAUAGAAGUCCUAGGAUAAUUGUGUAAGCUCGCCAUCGAGGAACUAUACAUGUGCAGAAUCUACUAGCAUCUCAAUCUACCAGAAGUUUUAACAGACGACGGACAAUGCAGUCAAGGUUUUGUGGAGUUUCUGACGAGGUACUUCAUAGAUUGAUUGGUGGCCUUGCACAAGUUGCAUGUGUGGUACUAAUACUGUUGAUUUGUGAGGAAGAUUUGGAGUCGGAUGUGUUGUUGGUGGUGACAAAGUUGGAGGUGGUGCUGGUGGAAGUGGAGGAUUAGGUUUGGAGAAGGAGAUGCUUCUGUGUUGGUGAUGGAAUUGGUGGACUUGGUAGUGGUGGCAGUGGACUUGGUAUGGUGGAUUUUGGGACCGAUUAUGUACAACACUCAGAGUCAUGUUAGGAAUUUUUCACUUUGUGUGCUUUCACAAUAGUAAUUGUUAGUGUUACUGUCAAGAGUGGUGUUACUGAAAUCUACGUUGAGAUUGUAUAUCAUUAUUCAGGAUUGAGCAAAUGCUUAGUAUUCAACCUGAACAGUAGUGUAGAAUCUUAUCCCACUUCUUUCUUUUUUAUUUAUACAUUAUCUCCCAUUUGAAACAGGAA